rnacentral:sRNA from 1 species
UAUUCAUCCCAUGCGGGAAGGAUGAGAAGCUUCGACUAAGGUUCGAUUCGAGCGAAGCGAGAAAGCGUUGCCGCAGGCAACGACCCGAAGGGCGAGGCGCAACGCGCCGAGUAAUCCUUCCCCCACUACCA